rfam:Citrus sinensis cultivar Ridge Pineapple sweet orange scaffold00295_contig_16, whole genome shotgun sequence.
AGACCAUGACGUGGGCAUUUUCUUAGUAGGUCUUUGUAUCUCUACCAUGCUUCAUAUGACGACCUCAACUCGAACUGAACAAAGAUUGUGAUUUCAUUCCUCAACUU